rnacentral:rRNA from 1 species
UACGUAGGUGGCAAGCGUUGUCCGGAUUUAUUGGGCUUAAAGGGUGCGUAGGCGGUCUUGUAAGUCAGUGCUGAAAUAUCCCGGCUUAACCGGGAGGGUGGCAUUGAUACUGUAGGGCUUGAGUACAGUUGAGGUUGGCGGAAUUGACGGUGUAGCGGUGAAAUGCUUAGAUAUCGGCAAGAACACCGAUAGCGAAGGCGGCUAACUGAGCUUUAACUGACGCUGAGGCGCGAAAGUGUGGGGAGCAAACAGG